GCGGACGGGUGAGUAAUGCUUGGGAACUUGCCUUUGCGAGGGGGAUAACAGUUGGAAACGACUGCUAAUACCGCAUAAUGUCUUCGGACCAAACGGGGCUUAGGCUCCGGCGCAAAGAGAGGCCCAAGUGAGAUUAGCUAGUUGGUAAGGUAACGGCUUACCAAGGCGACGAUCUCUAGCUGUUCUGAGAGGAAGAUCAGCCACACUGGGACUGAGACACGGCCCAGACUCCUACGGGAGGCAGCAGUGGGGAAUAUUGCACAAUGGGGGAAACCCUGAUGCAGCCAUGCCGCGUGUGUGAAGAAGGCCUUCGGGUUGUAAAGCACUUUCAGUUGUGAGGAAAAGUUAGUAGUUAAUACCUGCUAGCCGUGACGUUAACAACAGAAGAAGCACCGGCUAACUCCGUGCCAGCAGCCGCGGUAAUACGGAGGGUGCGAGCGUUAAUCGGAAUUACUGGGCGUAAAGCGCACGCAGGCGGUUUGUUAAGCUAGAUGUGAAAGCCCCGGGCUCAACCUGGGAUGGUCAUUUAGAACUGGCAGACUAGAGUCUUGGAGAGGGGAGUGGAAUUCCAGGUGUAGCGGUGAAAUGCGUAGAUAUCUGGAGGAACAUCAGUGGCGAAGGCGACUCCCUGGCCAAAGACUGACGCUCAUGUGCGAAAGUGUGGGUAGCGAACAGGAUUAGAUACCCUGGUAGUCCACACCGUAAACGCUGUCUACUAGCUGUGUGUGCCUUUAAGGCGUGCGUAGCGAAGCUAACGCGCUAAGUAGACCGCCUGGGGAGUACGGCCGCAAGGUUAAAACUCAAAUGAAUUGACGGGGGCCCGCACAAGCGGUGGAGCAUGUGGUUUAAUUCGAUGCAACGCGAAGAACCUUACCUACACUUGACAUGCUGAGAAGUUACUAGAGAUAGUUUCGUGCCUUCGGGAACUCAGACACAG
rnacentral:rRNA from 1 species